CCUACGGGAGGCAGCAGUGAGGAAUAUUGGUCAAUGGGCGUAAGCCUGAACCAGCCAAGUCGCGUGAGGGAUGAAGGUUCUAUGGAUCGUAAACCUCUUUUAUAAGGGAAUAAAGUGCGGGACGUGUCCCGGUUUGUAUGUACCUUAUGAAUAAGGAUCGGCUAACUCCGUGCCAGCAGCCGCGGUAAUACGGAGGAUCCGGGCGUUAUCCGGAUUUAUUGGGUGUAAAGGGUGCGUAGGCGGCCUUUUAAGUCAGCGGUGAAAGUCUGUGGCUCAACCAUAGAAUUGCCGUUGAAACUGGGAGGCUUGAGUAUGUUUGAGGCAGGCGGAAUGCGUGGUGUAGCGGUGAAAUGCUUAGAUAUCACGCAGAACCCCGAUGGCGAAGGCAGCCUGCCAAGCCAUGACUGACGCUGAUGCACGAAAGCGUGGGGAUCGAACAGGAUUAGAUACCCGAGUAGUC
rnacentral:rRNA from 1 species